GACGGAGGAUGCAAGCGUUAUCCGGAAUUACUGGGCGUAAAGCGUGCUCCGGCGGUUCGUUCAGUCCGAUGUGAAAGCCCCGGGCUCAACCUGGGAACUGCAUUUGAAACUGGCGGGCUUGAGUAUGGCAGAGGGGGGUGGAAUUCCGCGUGUAGCAGUGAAAUGCGUAGAGAUGCGGAGGAACACCGAUGGCGAAGGCAGCCCCCUGGGCUGACACUGACGCUGAGGCACGAAAGCGUGGGGAGCAAACAGG
rnacentral:rRNA from 1 species